GAUGAACGCUGGCGGCGUGCCUAAUACAUGCAAGCCGAGCGAACAGACGAGGAGCUUGCUCCUCUGACGUUAGCGGCGGACGGGUGAGUAACACGUGGAUAACCUACCUAUAAGACUGGGAUAACUUCGGGAAACCGGAGCUAAUACCGGAUAAUAUAUUGAACCGCAUGGUUCAAUAGUGAAAGACGGUUUUGCUGUCACUUAUAGAUGGAUCCGCGCCGCAUUAGCUAGUUGGUAAGGUAACGGCUUACCAAGGCAACGAUGCGUAGCCGACCUGAGAGGGUGAUCGGCCACACUGGAACUGAGACACGGUCCAGACUCCUACGGGAGGCAGCAGUAGGGAAUCUUCCGCAAUGGGCGAAAGCCUGACGGAGCAACGCCGCGUGAGUGAUGAAGGUCUUCGGACCGUAAAACUCUGUUAUUAGGGAAGAACAAAUGUGUAAGUAACUAUGCACGUCUUGACGGUACCUAAUCAGAAAGCCACGGCUAACUACGUG
rnacentral:rRNA from 1 species